rnacentral:rRNA from 1 species
UACGGGGGGAGCAAGCGUUGUUCGGAUUUACUGGGCGUAAAGGGCGCGUAGGCGGUCAGCACAAGUCAGUUGUGAAAUCUCCGGGCUUAACUCGGAAAGGUCAACUGAUACUGUGCGACUAGAGUGCGGAAGGGGCAACUGGAAUUCUCGGUGUAGCGGUGAAAUGCGUAGAUAUCAGGAGGAACACCGGUGGCGAAGGCGGUUCUCUGGGCCUUACCUGACGCUGAGGAGCGAAAGCAUGGGGAGCAAACAGG